AGCCGGACCUGCCAACCGCGAAGUUGCGGCUUCGGCGACUCCAGUGGCUUCAGGGCGGCACGUCCAGGCCAGGAGCCAUUGGCUCCGUCGGAGCACGAGGAACGCGGCCGAAGCCGCGCCCGGGCUCCCUUCGCUCGCUCCCUCAGCGCACGGCCGACCUUCGCCCUCGUCCCCAUGGCUACGCGACAGUCAAGAGCCUAUCGCCUGGCCUCCCUCUUCCGGCGGCCGGCGGGGCAGAGGUGCGGCCUCCCUGAGUCACAAACGCGCCCCGGGCCUGACUCAGCCCGGCCACAGCGCGCGCGCGCGCGCGUCCCCGCAGAGACCGGCCCCCCCAAACUGCGCCACACGCGCGGCAGGUCACGCGGCCG
rnacentral:lncRNA from 1 species